UAAGGGCGCACGGUGGAUGCCUUGGCACUAGAAGCCGAUGAAGGACGUUACUAACGACGAUAUGCUUUGGGGAGCUGUAAGUAAGCUUUGAUCCAGAGAUUUCCGAAUGGGGAAACCCAGCAUGAGUUAUGUCAUGUUAUCGAUAUGUGAAUACAUAGCAUAUCAGAAGGCACACCCGGAGAACUGAAACAUCUUAGUACCCGGAGGAAGAGAAAGAAAAUUCGAUUCCCUUAGUAGCGGCGAGCGAAACGGGAAGAGCCCAAACCAACAAGCUUGCUUGUUGGGGUUGUAGGACACUCUAUACGGAGUUACAAAGGACGACAUUAGACGAAUCAUCUGGAAAGAUGAAUCAAAGAAGGUAAUAAUCCUGUAGUCGAAAAUGUUGUCUCUCUUGAGUGGA
rnacentral:rRNA from 1 species